ensembl:lncRNA
UGUGUGUGUGUGUGUGUGUGUGUGUGUGCGUGUGUGUGCGCGCGCAUGUGUGUUUUUAUUAGUAUCUCUUGGCGGAGAAGCCAGAUAAUCAUAAUCAUAUUACUGUAUGCUCUGAUGUCAUGUUGGGAUGUUCUUUUUCUAAAACUUUUCCCACUCUGUUCUUUCCCCUCUUCAUCCUCCUUCCUUCACGCUUCACACAAUCGGUUCAAAUUGCUGUAUUAUUUAAUUCUUUGCAUUGUUUAUUUUUCUCUCAUCUUUUGCCCACUCCCUUUUUCCUUUUCUGCCUUUUAUGUAUUUGUGUGUUUUUUCCUUGUGCUCUCUCCCUAUCUCUUUAUCUCUCUUGCUUUCUCUCUCUCUCUCUCUCUCUCUCUCUCUCUCAAUCCUUCUUCCCUCUCUCUCAUACUCCCACACCAUAUCAUCAACCCAUUCCCAGACUGCACAGGCAAGUAAAGUCUUACUGGAGCCAGAGACUCGCUCUCCCCUGCCUUCCUCCUCCUCCUCUUCCUCUCCGCACCCUCAGGGGAUGCCCCCAGGCUCGCCGAAGGCCAAGGGCUCACCGAAGCCCCCCAGCUCACUGAAGGCCAAGGGCUCACCGAAGCCCCCCAGCUCACUGAAGGCCAAGGGCUCGCUGAAGCCUCCUGGCAAAGAUGGCCCUCGCACCAGCUCUGCUCCUGUCCCUCUUGCCGUUCCGGCUCCAGUGGCCGCUCCAGGUCCAGCUGCAGCUCCAGGUCUUCCAGGUCUUCCAGCGGAUCCAGGUCUUCCAGCGGAUCCAGCUCAGGGUGGCAGGUCACGGCAGGGCAGUGCCAGUGCCGGUGGGGGCGGCACCUCCAGCCCUGCCGACAAACGGCGACCCCAUCACAGCACCAAGCGGGCGUCCUCACACUCCCACACACACACAAACACACACUCCCACAAGCCCGCCAACGGAGUGGCGUCUGCCCUGUCCACCCCACAGCAGGCCGCCCCGUCCUCCUCCUCUUCCUCCUCCUCAACCUCCUCGUCUACGGGGCGCAAGCGCAGCAGCAGUAAUGGCAGUCACCACCGCAGGGACGGCAGGUACACCUCACAGCACUGACGGGUGGAGGGUGGCACAGCGCAGGACUGGCAACGGUGGCACAGAGGGUACAACACUGGCAGUGCUCAUCUGGUCUUGGACCAUGUGCGUCUCCUGCCUGACUGUCUCAAGCACUUAUUUAUUCCUCAAGGGGGCGCCCUUCUGGAACGUUCUCUCUGCAGAGCCUUGGUCUCCAUGGAGAUUUCAGUUAUUUAUAUCACAAUAUUGAACUUUCCUGGUGAUGCACUUGAUGACUCUCUUCCUGCUCCGAUGUGAUCUUGUGUUUCUCCUGCAAAGCAUGCUGGGAACCUGGAUGUACUCCUGGUCUUCUCCGGGCGCAUGGAACCCUGGAGCCGAAGGUGUGGAGGAGAGGCUGCUGGAGGAAAGACUGUGCAAAGCACAAGCCUGGUGUCUGGAGUAAAGGUGAUCUCCCUGUGGCCACCUUUAACCAUAUCUCUGUUAUGUUUUAUUGAUUUGUAAUUGAUACAGACUCCAGAACAGGGAACACCAAAAAAUUGAAUAGAUACACAAACACACAGCCCAUGUCGGGCUUUAACUGACAGUUGAGAACAGCAAUAAGUGAACAGUGUUAUGACACUACUCUGCAGGGUAAACCAUAUCUGUUAGGCCACAGGAACAAAACAAACAUACAAAUAAACAAAUGUAUGUUGACAGAUGACUUCUGAAGGGCCUGGGCAACCUCAUGCUUCAGCCUAAACAAGGUCUGACUGUCAUCUUUAUGCAAAUCUACAUCAUGAUCAUUGCAUGCAUGGAUGGAUAUAGAACAUCAGCUGUGGCUUGUCAUACCAUCCUCUCCAACAUUAGUGACACGUGUUUGAGUGCAUGGGACUGAACAAAGGCUUGUUAUUUGUAGAAUACAAAGCUGUGUUUGAAUAUCUGCACUGAACUACCUUCGAUCUCCCAAUCUUCCAUGCGUGAGGACUGGCCACUGCUGUUUCCUCACCUGGUCUUGGUGCACCCAGACCAAAAGUCUUCAAACUCGCACUAAGAUGUGCUUUUGUGUCGUUAGACACGCACUCCUCUCUCUCUGCUUCCCCUUUCCUCUUAACAGGAAGUGAUGUAUAUUGUUCAGACCCCCCCCCCCCCCAGAGCCCCCCAGGAAGAUAUUUCCUCUGAAACACUUACCCAUGAAGCUCUUAAAUGAUCCUCGUACAGCAAUACUAAAUAUGAGACCUUUUUGUUUUGUUCUUGUCCCUCACUUAACCUGACAAAUCACACUUGUACAUUUUUUGGUGGCCGCACACCAUUACAAAGUUGUUAAAGUAUGUAGAUGGGGGAGGGGGGGGGGGGCACUAUAUGGACUAAAAUGACAGUCUGGGGCUCCAUUCUUCUGUAUGCCACUUGUAUGACUUUUUGCCCGAAGCGUUUGCCCACAAUUCCCUUUCAGCCUCAGCAGUAUUUUGCACAGGGAAAUGCAAUGAACCAACUGGAUGACUUGACUGUAGUGGGACCUUUUUAGAGUAUGUACUCUGUGAAUUCUAGUGCACUGCUUCAUGUCGAGCUCGUCACCUUGAUCUCCAACGUAGACGUGUAAAGUCAGUCACACACACACCACACUCUCGCAAGUGUACUUUUUUUGUCCUUGUCUUUUGCCUGCCAUGUUCGUCUUCUAAAAACAUAUGAUUGUGAGUGCAUUUCAGGAAUGCCCCCAACCCUCCCCCCACACUUUUUUUGUUCAUAGUUUCCUAAAGGGCUUGUCAACCAUAUCAGUGGUUCUCAAAAUAAAAUUGAAAAAAAAUAAAAAAACUGAUGUUUUUCGUGGUUAUGAAAAAUUUGAAUAAGGAGAACUGUUUUGGGGUAGUGAGAAGCAAUGAGGCUAUUCUAGACGACGUCAUGCGCUCAGUGUGUGACCGAGAAGAUUAACCACGGCACUUUUUCUUUGAAUUUGGUCUGUGUCCCAAAUGGCAUCCUGCCGUCGUCGCCUACAGCACAUAUUUGCAAUGUAAAAAUGCUGAAUUGAAGUGCUGAAUUGGCAACGUUAUUAUAGUGUGAUCUGUGGGUCACCACUAGAGGGCGGUAUUUCCAACCAAAUACAGGGUAGCAGCUCCUCUGUGGUCACAUCUCCUGGGUGAGCUGUGGAAAACCGGAGGAGCUCAGAGGGGGUGAACACGUCAGAGUGGAUCUGUUCUGCCUGAGACUUACCUUCUGCCUCGCUUCAAACGAUUAGCGAGUUGUCUAGGCUAUAGAAGAAGAAGCGAAACCAGUGCAAGUAACAUUUUACACCAGACAUGUAAAUCCACUUAACUUUCCUCAACUGUCUUUAACGUAAUUCUAUAAUACCUCUGGUUACACUGAUUUUCAUAAAGCAUCUGGGAAAAUGUAUGUUAGUGGUGUGGUGUCUGGUCAUCAUAAAGGAUAUGAGUGUGUGUAUAUGAUAUAUGAGUGUGUUUCACAAAAAUUUCCUUUGCUUUCUCAAAAAAGUCUAUUUCUGCAGAUUUUGAUUUGCAGUCUGCUGUGGCCAUAGAUUACCAUCAUAGCUUUUCCCCUCGUUUAGUCUGUCUGCAGCUGCAUUUGGAGAAAUGAGUUCCCUCUUUCUUUUUUUUUUGUUACUGAAAAUGUCCUUGGGUAUUGUAUGGAGAUGCAGACAUGCUUUUGCAAUUAUAUCAUUAGUGCUGUGAAACGGCAGUGAAAUUAGCUGAAACUGAAACCGCCGUGUUCCCCUGAAUGCCAGUAGCAGAGUCUGGCUUGACUGAAAGAAAGACCCACUUUUUCCCCCCCUAGCUUUCAGACACGAGGCGUUCAGUCGUUUUAAAAUCAACACCUCAGCUCUUUAAACAAAGUAAUUAUGUGUGUUUUAUCCACGAUUGGAGUCAUACAUCAGGUUGAAAUAGUCUUAAGUUUUCUUUAAAACAGGACCUUUUCAGGUUUGGUGGUUUGGGUUUUUGAUAGAUUUGACAUAAAAUUUUGAUCUCGGAAAAUGAAAAGGAAAGAAAGAAAUGACAAUUUUCAAAAAGAAGUGGAAAGGGUGCACGGAGAGGCUAUGGGGUCUGGCUCCCUGAAGGGAAGUUCAAGGAACGCUGAAAGUGAGCACAUUUUUUUUGCUCUCCUAUGCAGACAGGUUUUGGCCUGUUCCUUAAAUCGAGUUAAGGCUCUCCUGAGUGUGCAGUGAGGGGUAACACUGGGCACGGGCCACAUGUGCAAUACGACCCGCAACAACACACUUACACUCCUCUCCACAGACUACACACACACACACACACACUCUGACAGUCACCCAUACACAGUCAUAUACACAUAUACAGAUUACACAUGCAGAAGGGCACACACACAUACAGACUUCCACACACACACAAGCACGUAUGGUAAUGUGUGUAUUGCAGCCAUUAUGGGGUUAUGAGGCUUGGAUGAGAGAGGCAGUGAUGCAUGCCAUGGUGUCCUCUAGAGAGUGAGGAUGACGUUAAACCUUCCGUCGCUCACACGCACACACACACACACACACACACAGCUGGCU